AGGUCGUGAGUUAGAUUCCCAGUACCAGGGGGAAAAAAAAAGAUAAGUGUUGCAGCAGAAUUACUGGCAAUAUAUGCAGCCUGUUGCUUUUAUGGGCUUCCCUAAGGGUCCUUAAAGACACUC
rnacentral:snoRNA from 1 species